CAAAGAUGUACAGAAUUAACAGAUAUAGUAACUGCUUGGGAUAAUGAUGAACGACCAUGAGAUCAGUAUGACUAAGACAUAAUUUGUGGUUAAUUAAUACAUAAGUAAUAGCAAUGAAUGUUAUGAACAUUAUUUAUUUUAUUUUUUUGUCCCGCCACCACCUCCCCUCGUUGGAGGACAACUUUAUAUUUAUUUCCAAUUGUGUAUAAACAAAAAUUUCUCCAAACAAGCCCACAUCACCCCAUCCCUAAUAUUGUGAAAUAAAGUGAAAACAGUAACAAGCAAAAUAACUGAUGGCAAGUUGAACAGAAUUAAACUGAUUGUAUAGAUGGAUGCAGACGGGCAGACAGAUGGACAGGCAAAUACAGACGACAGACAGAGACAUUAACAGCCAUACACACAGGCAAAUCAAUGGACGGCUAAACAGACAAUUUAGACAGAAAAACAUUAAACAGGCAAAGACACACAUAUAAACAGGCAAGUAUAUAGUUAUAUCGUGUACUAUUCGAGUACAAAGGUCUAUAGAGAAGACUGGUUACUGUUGGGGAGGAGGGAGAAAGAGAGAGAAAGAGAAGAAGGGAGAGAGAGAGAGAGAGAGAGAAAGAAAGAUAAGUUAUAUGAGCUAGGAUAAUGACCAGGCAUAAGUUGAGAAUAGUAGUUAUGAGGAAUGUAAGUGGUUCAGUUAUUAUUAUUAUGAACAUUAUUUGUGCCCCUCGAGUAAAGUGUUCCUGAAUUUACUAACACAAAAAAUGCAGAACAAUAUACCCAGGUCAGAAGGUGUACUGCAAAUAUGACUUCCCUGGUUCAUUCUUACUAAUAUUUAGGAUGGUUAGAGUUUAAAUGUAAUACAUCCAUAACUUUUGAGGGUAAGCCCAGUUUCAGGAAACCCAGUUUUAAACCCCAGUUUAGUAUAUAUUUUCACACAAAUCUUUGACAAAUCUAGCCUAGAUACACGAGAGGUCAGUGUUCCUCUGGAUCUAGGAAAUGAAGACUUGCUGCUCCCACAGCUUGUCAUUCCAUGGCCAUGAGAAGGGCAGCCUGUAAUGUUCCCAUGGUUCUCUUUACAAACUGUACAAUCCAGUAAUGACCUUCGGCAAGACCCCAGCUGAGUACACCAGCAGUGGGCUGUGAGCCAACACUAGGUGUUUCUCUUGCAGUGUUUAUAUGUUUAAAUAAUAUUACCCAGUAGGAUUUAUUGCAAUGGAUAUAAUUAAUAUAAGAAAAAAAAACAGUCAGCUUUCUUGGCUUGCUUGGAUGUUAGUAAAAUUAUAUUUGGUACUGACUUGAAAAACUCAAAAGACUUCAGUCAUUACCUUGUCAAGCAGGAGGGACUCUACGACUUGAAAAUUAGGGCUCAGCAACUAAACAUAGUAGACAUAUUUUGCAGUGGGUUACUUUAGAUUCAAUUAAUGGAAACAUUUUUUUUUUCUAAUUUACAGUGACAGAGAAACGCAGUUCAUCCAGAUUCGAUCUAACCGCAAACUACAGCGCGCGAGACGCGCUUUUAAAUUCAGUGAAAAAGGCGAGAGAUUGUCUGAGGUACAGAUUAUUCGUGCUGGUGAAGUUAGGCCAUUGGGUUGGAACAGACGACUCCCCUUCGUUGGGGUUCCUGUAGGGAGACAGCCAAUCAGGUGGAGAUCUGGUGAAUUUCUAAUAUCUUACUGACUUACGGUUCAGUGUGGUGAAAGGGUUGGUUGAUAGACGGGACAUCUAAGCCGGUGAACAUGUGGCCGUCACAGUUGUUGAUACCAGCAAUGUAGUCGACGUUGGCAGCAUUGGGGAAGAGGUUGGCAGGGUCAUCAGGAAGGAAGUCACCAUCCACCACCGGGGAUAGGACAAGGUGGAACACAACUGGGUCUGCAGAAGCAGGCGAUACAUCGGGCUAACAACACAAAGCCAGAGCAAGAUCAUGACCAUGUGACCAAGAUUGUUUUUUGUAGUUGUCAUGUGACAACUGUAUCUUUUGUCACAUUCUGAGAAUUUUUUUCACAGAAUGUUGUAUCCCCUAUGAUGACUACAUUGAAAUAAAUCACUAGCUAGCACUUUGAGCUGGCACAUACCUUC